AACGAACGCUGGCGGCAUGCCUAACACAUGCAAGUCGAACGAGACCUUCGGGUCUAGUGGCGCACGGGUACGUAACGCGUGGGAACCUGCCCUUAGGUUCGGAAUAACUCCCCGAAAGGGGUGCUAAUACCGGAUAAUGUCUUCGGACCAAAGAUUUAUCGCCUUUGGAUGGGCCCGCGUUGGAUUAGCUAGUUGGUAGGGUAAAAGCCUACCAAGGCGACGAUCCAUAGCUGGUCUGAGAGGAUGAUCAGCCACACUGGGACUGAGACACGGCCCAGACUCCUAGGGGAGGCAGCAGGGGGGAAUAUUGGAAAAUGGGCGAAAGCCUGACCCAGCAAUGCCGGGGGAGUGAUGAAGGCCUUGGGGUUGUAAAGCCCUUUUCCCCGGGAUGAUAAUGACAGUACCGGGAAAAAAAGCCCCGGCUAACUCCGU
rnacentral:rRNA from 1 species